rnacentral:lncRNA from 1 species
GGCGGAAUGCAUUAACAUUAGCAAAAUCCUCAAAUUGAAUGAGACAGUUCAUGCCAUAACUUGAAGUCACAGCUUCCAUGAAUUCAUCAAGAAGAUCAUCGUAGGCUUGACCUCUGAUUCUCUUAUGUCUCAGCCCAAUAUACAAAGGAUCUUUCAGCAAUGCCUCAUUAUCUGUUCCCACAUCCAACAUCACAGGUAGGCACUCAUAAGGUUUC